GCGUCCUUAGUUCAGUCGGUAGAACGCUGGUUUCCAAAACCUGAUGUCGUGGGUUCAAGUCCUACAGGGCGUG
rnacentral:tRNA from 1 species